UGUGAAUUUAUCUAUGCAAUUAUUCUGUUUGAAUUAGCCAACUUCCUCGAGUUCUUUAAUUAAAAAACAAUCAAAACAUGAUCUACGUGUUAUCUGGUGUAAUCAUCGCGUUUGGUUGCCAUCGUUACGACUGUCAUCUUCAAGUGCUUAACCGCCGCUUUAGCAGACGACAGCUGUAAACAAAAGCAAGGCCAAGAUCAAAGACACUUUUUUUUUCCUUUUUUUUUGAGCAGCCUUUCCUCUUUUUAGGAUUGGAACAAAGAUUGGAAGCCUGGUCCAUAUCGCAAGACAGGUGCUUAAAGAAGUGACACUGCAGAUGGACUCGGAUAUGGUGUGACUUAAUUUUGAUGUGUAUUUUAAACAGGCAAGAAAAAGUGAUCCCAAUUUCAUUGUAGAUGAUAAAACCAGCUGUAAAAAAUGAUAAUGAGCCUCCAGCAAUCUUUGAGGUGAGAGAAAAUUUUGACUACAUUAAAAGGGAGAGUGAGGAAGCAGCAGAAGAUAACCUUGAAGGGAGCUCCAACGGAGAUGAGAAUGGAGAUGAUGAUUUUAACUUGGAAGCAUUCAAUAAGGAAUAUCCUGAGCUUAGUGACACAACACACCAAAGAAAAUAUGGAUGUAAAGAUACUUGAAAGUUAUUUCAUCACAAGAAUGUUUUGGCAGUGAUUAUUUGCGACUUCACGCCAUCCAACAUCAGGGAGUGAAGCCCUUUAAAUGUGACGUUUUUACGACCGAUCCAACUUACGUCAACAUACGAGAUCACGGGUGAAAAACUGGCCAUUUGUCCGUACUGUCCGCACAAAUACUUAAACUGAUUGAUGACAUGAGAAAACAUUUGACUAUUCACAUGAAAGAAAAAGCACUUUAGUAUGAUACCAGUGUUUAGGUAAAAUUUUCUCGCUUUAAACUGCGCUGAAAACUGGAUUAGUUGCCCACCAGCGGUUACACACAGGAGAACGUCGUUUUGCUUGUGAAUAUUGACCAAUGUGUUUCCAAUAUCACACGUCAAUGACACGAGUUUGGCUAAUUCAUACAGGUGAUAAACAGUUUUUGUGCACUCAGUGUGGUAAGACAUUUACGCAAGUUGCAAAUAUGAAGCGGGAUAUGCUGACGCACACAUCAGAAAGCAAAGGACAACUUUAUCCCGGUCCUUUUUAUGGUGUUGAGUUGGUAUCGAAGAGCGACGUCCGAAUCCAUGUGGCCAAAGAACACGAGCAAAAGAAUAAGAGUCAGCAGCCCAAUACCACCGGAUCUUCAGUAGCAGAAGAAAAUCCUGAUUGAGAAGCUAACAAUGAGUUCAUAACUAUUUACGCGGAGGAGGAAAAUCUAUCAAGACUAACGUUGCAUGCGAAGAAACAAGAAGACAUUUGAACAUACUGAUUCAUGCGGAUUGAUUCAUAUCUGUCGAACUUUUCCGCCAGAAGCCACCCAUUAGCGUGCUUUAGCGAUCGGUGUGUGUUUAGUAUCUGUGUGUUCUUACAAUUCCCGUUCCUUCUACUUUUCUUUCACUUUUUUUGUUAAAUUUCACACUUGGACUUGACGGCUUAGUUUUCAUGCAAUUAGCUUGUGUUAUUUAAAUUUUAAAUGUAAUGGUGCCUAUCAUUGCUGCAGUAACAUCACAAAUUACGAGUAAACGCGAUUAAAGUUUAAA
rnacentral:lncRNA from 1 species